CUCAAGUACUGUAGCUACAGAAUUUUUGGCUUUUUUUGGGGAGUGGGGAGGUUGGCAUAUGGUUAUCUUUUCCUGUGGACUUUGAAAAUAACUAUUUCCUUAAAAAAAAAAAAAGUCUUACCUCAAUCUUACUUUUUGAAAGCAAACAUUCAAAAGCCCCAACCCACCCUAGAACAAACCCUCAGUGCUCCAGGUUCUGAUCACGCAGUUUCCUUUUUCCUCCCUCUGCUGACUACACAUUUGGAUGUUUACACUGGUCAGUAGCUCUGCAAGAAGUCUGACACUAUAUAUGUCGUGGGAUUGUUUGUCAGCAGCUUCCUGAUCCCUGGGUUGUACUAGAGUGCUACGUUCUCACACUCGGUAUCCCCGUGGCCAUCAAGGCUGUAGCUCCGUUGGUGGGUUAGUUUGGCAGUGUUCUGCGAGUCAUUCCUGGAGGCCUCAGCUACAGCCUGCUUCUCCAGCUAUUCCAAGGAUUUGGCAUUUAGAAGCUAAUCACAACGCAACUCAAAAUGAGUACUAACAGAGAACAGCAGGAGCCUAGACCACAGAGCCUGGAGUUAACCAAAUAGAUAACACUUGAGUUGGAACUUGAAGGUGGAAUAUGCUAAGCAGAGAAUCACUGGGAACGCGAGGGAAACAAGAUGCACCAAGGUGUUGUCGUUAAAGAGCACAAUGCGUUAGAGGGAUGGGGAGUUCACUAUGGCUGGACUACGAACAGGAUCGGGAGAGGAUCUUAGUUUCCUGUCCCGGGAUGGAACCCAAGCACCCUGCACUGGAAACACGGAGUCUUGACCACUGGACCGCCAGGGAAGUCCUGUUUUUUGUUUAAUUAUCAUCCCUUGGGCUGAAUAGAGUGUGCUUCACAGGCUUUGGUUCAUAUUAAGACCCUAAAAAGAAAUGUGUUGAUGCAAGCAGAGUCCGAGCCUGCUUGUUGCAGGCUACUGUUUUUUUUUUUGUUAACAAAUUUAUUUAUUUAUUUUUGGUUGCAUUGGGUCUUAAUUGCCGCACGCGGGCUUUAGUUGCGUCAAGCGGGGGAUACUUUUCUUUGCAGUGCGUGGCCUUCAUCAUUGCGUUGCAGUGCGUGGCCUUCAUCAUUGCGGUGGCUUCUCUUGUUGUGGAGC